GAUGAAGAACGUAGCGAAAUGCGAUAAGUAAUGUGAAUUGCAGAAUUCAGUGAAUCAUCGAAUCUUUGAACGCACAUUGCGCCCGCCAGUAUUCUGGCGGGCAUGCCUGUUCGAGCGUAAUUUCAACCAUCAAGCCCCAGGCUUGUGUUGGAGCCCUGCGGCUGCCGCAGCCUCCCAAAACCAGUGGCGGGCUCGCUAUCACACCGAGUGCAGUAGUUUACUCUUCGCUCAGGGCGUGUGGCGGGUGCUAGCCGUAAAACCCCCAACUUCUCAAGGUUGACCUCGGAUCAGGUAGGAAUACCCGCUGAACUUAAGCAUAUCAAUAAGCGGAGGA
rnacentral:misc_RNA from 1 species